rnacentral:rRNA from 1 species
UACAGAGGGGGCAAGCGUUGUCCGGAAUUACUGGGCGUACAGCGUGCGCAGGCGGUUUCGCAAGUCAGAUGUGAAAGCCCCGGGCUCAACCUGGGAAUUGCAUUUGAAACUACGAGGCUAGAGUGUGUCAGAGGGGGGUAGGAAAUUCCACGUGUAGCAGUGAAAUGCGUAGAGAUGUGGAGGAAUACCGAUGGCGAAGGCAGCCCCCUGGGA